GAAAUGCGAUAAGUAAUGUGAAUUGCAGAAUUCAGUGAAUCAUCGAAUCUUUGAACGCACCUUGCGCUCCUUGGUAUUCCUUGGAGCAUGCCUGUUUGAGUAUCAUGAAAUCUUCAAAGUAAAUCUUUUGUUAACUCAACUGGUUUCUACUUUGGUAUUGGAGGUCUUUGCAGCUUCACACCUGCUCCUCUUUGUUCAUUAGCUGGAUCUCAGUGAUAUGCUUGGUUCCACUCGGCGUGAUAAGUUAUCUAUCGCUGAGGACACUGUAAAAGGUGGCCAAGGUAAAUGCAGAUGAACCGCUUCUAAUAGUCCAUUGACUUGGACAAUACUUUUAUGAUCUGAUCUCAAAUCAGGUAGGACUACCCGCUGAACUUAAGC
rnacentral:misc_RNA from 1 species